AACGCGAAGAACCUUACCUGGGCUCGAACGGCUUCUCAACGGCGGUGGAAACACCGCUAUCCCUUAAAAGAGUGGAGUCGAGGUGCUGCAUGGCUGUCGUCAGCUCGUGUCGUGAGAUGUUGGGUUAAGUCCCGCAACGAGCGCAACCCUUGUCCUGUUUUGGCAUGCCGCAAGGCGCAACUAUCAGGAGACCGCCAGCGAUAAGUUGGAGGAAGGUGGGGAUGACGUCAAGUCAUCAUGGCCUUUAUGUCCAGGGCCACACACGUGCUACAAUGGGCGGUACAAAGCGCUGCGAACCCGCGAGGGGAAGCUAAUCGCAAAAAACCGUCCUCAGUUCGGAUCGCAGGCUGCAAUUCGCCUGCGUGAAGCUGGAAUCGCUAGUAAUGCCGUAUCAGACGACGGCGUGAAUACGUUCCCGGGCCUUGUACACACCGCUAGUC
rnacentral:rRNA from 1 species